UUCGUAGGGGGCAAGCGUUGUCCGGAUUUAUUGGGCGUAAAGAGCGUGUAGGCGGCCAAGCAGGUCCGCUGUGAAAACUCGAGGCUCAACCUCGAGACGUCGGUUGAAACCAUCUGGCUAGAGUCCGGAAGAGGAGUGUGGAAUUCCCGGUGUAGCGGUGAAAUGCGCAGAUAUCGGGAAGAACACCCGUGGCGAAGGCGGCACUCUGGGACGGUACUGACGCUGAGACGCGAAAGCGUGGGGAGCGAACAGG
rnacentral:rRNA from 1 species